rnacentral:rRNA from 1 species
CGUAGGGCGCAAGCGUUAUCCGGAAUUAUUGGGCGUAAAGGGCGCGUAGGCGGCUCGGCACGUCCGUUGUGAAAUCGCCCGGCUCAACUGGGCGGGUCAGCGGAUACGGCCGAGCUGGAGCAAGCUAGGGGGUAAUGGAAUUCCCGGUGUAGUGGUGGAAUGCGUAGAUAUCGGGAGGAACACCAGUGGCGAAGGCGGUUACCUGGAGCUUUGCUGACGCUGAUGCGCGAAAGCGUGGGGAGCGAUCCGGAUUAGAUACCCGGGUAGUCCACGCCGUAAACGAUGCGGACUAGGUGUCGGGGGUAUCGACCCCCUCGGCGCCGCAGCUAACGCAUUAAGUCCGCCGCCUGGGGACUACGGCCGCAAGGCUA